CGUGCUACUCCCUCUCUAAGGAAUUAUUAUAAACAAAAUCCCUUCCUACAAAUAACAUGCGUGCGCUACUGCUUUGUGUUUACAAAGCCGACGGGGUUAUUCAUAUUUACACCGGUCGGUCUUACGUAAUGUAUUGCGAGUACGCUUAGACCCGUAUCCCCGACGACCGAAUUCGGAACGAUUUCUUGUCCGGCUUCUCUUAGAGCAAUUUGUUUCCUAAACCAAACGGAUACUUCGUGCCAGUCGUGGUAUCAAACGGAUAAAAUA